CAGUAGCCACGGGAACACGAAGGGGGCUAGCGUUGCUCGGAAUGACUGGGCGUAAAGGGCGCGUAGGCGGCGGCCAAAGUCAGGCGUGAAAUUCCCGGGCUCAACCUGGGGGCUGCGUUUGAUACUUGGUUGCUUGAGUGGGGAAGAGGGUCGUGGAAUUCCCAGUGUAGAGGUGAAAUUCGUAGAUAUUGGGAAGAACACCGGUGGCGAAGGCGGCGACCUGGUCCUUUACUGACGCUGAGGCGCGAAAGCGUGGGGAGCAAACAGGAUUAGAUACCCCCGUAGUCCCUGUCUCUUAUAC
rnacentral:rRNA from 1 species